rnacentral:rRNA from 1 species
GAUGAACGCUAGCUACAGGCUUAACACAUGCAAGUCGAGGGGCAGCACGGAGAUAGCUUGCUAUCUUGGGUGGCGACCGGCGCACGGGUGAGUAACGCGUAUCCAACCUGCCCAUUACUCAGGGAUAGCCUUGCGAAAGUAAGAUUAAUACCUGAUGUUGUUAAAAACCCGCAUGAGUUUUUAACCAAAGAUUUAUUGGUAAUGGAUGGGGAUGCGUGACAUUAGGUAGUAGGUGAGGUAACGGCUCACCUAGCCGACGAUGUCUAGGGGUUCUGAGAGGAAGGUCCCCCACACUGGAACUGAGACACGGUCCAGACUCCUACGGGAGGCAGCAGUGAGGAAUAUUGGUCAAUGGACGAGAGUCUGAACCAGCCAAGUAGCGUGCAGGAUGACGGCCCUCUGGGUUGUAAACUGCUUUUAGUUGGGAAUAAAAAAGAGGGACGUGUCCCUAAUUGUAUGUACCAUCAGAAAAAAGGACCGGCUAAUUCCGUG